UAGGGAAUCUUCGGCAAUGGACGAAAGUCUGACCGAGCAACGCCGCGUGAGUGAAGAAGGUUUUCGGAUCGUAAAACUCUGUUGUUAGAGAAGAACAAGGACGUUAGUAACUGAACGUCCCCUGACGGUAUCUAACCAGAAAGCCACGGCUAACUACGUGCCAGCAGCCGCGGUAAUACGUAGGUGGCAAGCGUUGUCCGGAUUUAUUGGGCGUAAAGCGAGCGCAGGCGGUUUCUUAAGUCUGAUGUGAAAGCCCCCGGCUCAACCGGGGAGGGUCAUUGGAAACUGGGGGACUUGAGUGCAGGAGAGGAGAGUGGAAUUCCGUGUGUAGCGGUGAAGUGCGUAGAUAUAUGUAGGAACACCAGUGGCGAAGGCGGAAAUCUGGUCUGUAACUGACGAUGAGGCACGAAAGAGUGGGGAGCAAACAGA
rnacentral:rRNA from 1 species